rnacentral:rRNA from 1 species
AGCUCCAAUAGCGUAUAUUAAAGUUGUUGCAGUUAAAAAGCUCGUAGUUGGAUUUGGGACUGGAGUCGUCGGGUCGGCCGCGAGGUCUGUUACUUGGCGGCUCUGUCAUUACAAUUCCCAGAGACCUGUCGUGUGCUUGACUGUACGCGGCACGGGAUUUGGGACGUUUACUUUGAAAAAAUUAGAGUGUUCAAGGCAGGCUCGCCAGCUUGAAUACAUGAGCAUGGAAUAAUGGAAUAGGACUACGGUCCCUAUUUCGUUGGUUUGACGGACCGAAGUAAUGAUUAAGAGGGGCAGUUGGGGGCAUCCGUAUUUCGUAGUCAGAGGUGAAAUUCUUGGAUCUGCGAAAGACGAACGAGUGCGAAAGCAUUUGCCAAGAGUGUUUUCAUUAAUCAAGAAC